rnacentral:rRNA from 1 species
GACGUAGGGCGCGAGCGUUGUCCGGAUUUAUUGGGCGUAAAGAGCUCGUAGGCGGCUUGUCGCGUCGACUGUGAAAACCCGUGGCUCAACCAUGUGGUCUGCAGUCGAUACGGGCAGGCUAGAAUUCGGUAGGGGAGACUGGAAUUCCUGGUGUAGCGGUGAAAUGCGCAGAUAUCAGGAGGAACACCAGUGGCGAAGGCGGGUCUCUGGACAGUUCCUGACGCUGAGGCACGAAGGCCAGGGGAGCAAACGGG